rnacentral:rRNA from 1 species
GAUGAACGCUGGCGGCGUGCCUAAUACAUGCAAGUCGAGCGAACGGACGAGAAGCUUGCUUCUCUGAUGUUAGCGGCGGACGGGUGAGUAACACGUGGAUAACCUACCUAUAAGACUGGGAUAACUUCGGGAAACCGGAGCUAAUACCGGAUAAUAUUAUGAACCGCAUGGUUCAAAAGUGAAAGACGGUCUUGCUGUCACUUAUAGAUGGAUCCGCGCUGCAUUAGCUAGUUGGUAAGGUAACGGCUUACCAAGGCAACGAUGCAUAGCCGACCUGAGAGGGUGAUCGGCCACCCUGGAACUGAGACACGGUCCAGACUCCUACGGGAGGCAGCAGUAGGGAAUCUUACGCAAUGGGCGAAAGCCUGACGGAGCAACGCCGCGUGAGUGAUGAAGGUCUUCGGAUCGUAAAACUCUGUUAUUAGGGAAGAACAUAUGUGUAAGUAACUGUGCACAUCUUGACGGUACCUAAUCAGAAAGCCACGGCUAACUACGUG